AAGCUCAGCAGUACAAACCGAUGUGACAUCCAUGUCGCAUAUCUACUCUGCCAUCAGCUGAACUCAGACCCCAUACCCACUGGAAAUGGGUUAGCAAGCUCGGUCUCUCUUUCUACAGUAACUUUAUCCUGCACACAUGCUGCGUGACCGCUGACCCGCAAUAUCCGCAGUAUUCUCAGGACGACCUUCUGCUCCAGUGCUGCGUUCAAUCAGAUAGAACUCAAGACAUGAUGAACACCACAUCCCUCCUCAGAUUGUGGUCGCCUCUGUUUUGCUUUUCAAAUGAACGCAGCACUGAGAUGUGGUUAAUGCAUUAUGUCGCCUCUCAGAGAGUAGCAGAGGGAGGUAAUGUGACAGCGGGGCACAGCGGGGCAUUACUUCACGAAGAAAGCAUGAGAUGGAGGAGAGAUUGAUGCCUAAAGCAUAUGAACUUGGAAAAGUGCAUCCUGGAGCCUUCUCUUCCCCAGGUCAUCUGGUCUACAUAUUUGAGUUGAUACAGGUUUUAUGAUGGAUGCCCUUCCUGACGCAACCCUCACAUUUUAUCUGGGCUUGGGACCAGCAUUAAGUUAGCUUCCUGCCCGGGAAUCGAACCCUUGCCCCAGCAAUGAGAGCGUGGGAUCCUGCCUCUGGAACACCAGGAGGCUAUUAAUGACAUUCCAAGGAUUUACUUAAAUGUAUCAUUUAUUUUUUUAUCUAGAAUUUGUAUAAGGUUAUAAAUGUAACAACAACAUUGAAAAUAAAGAAAAAUAAAAG